CUGCCUGGCACUAAAUGACAGAGCUAACAUGGUCCUUUUAUAGAAACAGCAAUAACCAGCAGUUGAACACCUGAAUGGUAAGAUAUUGACAUGAAAAAGGAGCUGAGGAAGAGUAACAAAUGUAUCAUUUACAGUAUCAGAAUCAGACACUUAUUUUUCAAUAUAUUUUUCACGAAAACGCGUAUAAUCGUGUUUUUGUUUUAAUAGCCAAUCAUAAAUUUCAGCAUCAUGUGUUGCUAGGUUAAAAGUUUCUUCAACCAAUCAUAUUUUCAGUUGGCUUCAAACUGACUUAUCGAUAUGACGAUUUGAUUGGAUGGUCAAAAAACACAGUCUUGAGUGUAGCAAGCUGCGUCGAGCAUGGACUUGACCGAAGGAAAAAUAAGUUUUCUCUGCGGCCACUGUCGAACGGACAUUCUCAGCUAUUAGCGAUUUAAAACUUAUGUAAUUAACACGGCAGGACAAACUGAACUUUCAUCGUGGAUGACGAUGGAAAAUGACCUCUUGUGAGAACUGCAUCGCACGGCUAGUCUGUACGACGGAGUGAAUUGAACUCAUGCAAAGUAAGGGAGUAAGGACUUUGUGUACAACUAAUCCGACGUUUUGUCUUUCUUGCUCUUAAACCACAGUCACCGGAGAGAACCGUCUACUUCGCCAGCAUUAACAACGAGUUCUGCUUCACAACAGGAGCCGACAUGUAACAGCGGUGGAAGAUUUCAAGAUGAUGACAAAAAUCUGGACUGCAGGCAGUACUGUAGCUUCAACACCAUCGCUCAGAUGUAAAGAAUGAGGAAAGCUUUCGGCUUCACCUAAAUCCCUGCGGAGUGUUUAUCCGGAAAGGCAGGUUACGGUGUGUGAUGCAGCAACAGUUCCCACCACUGGGAGAGCAGAGACUUCCUGCUCCCCUCACAAACAACAGCUAGAAAUCAAAGCACAGAAGUGACAAAAACUGCAAAACAACCUUGAGAAGUACAAAAGAAGAAGGAGGUGGAGCAGGUCUGACAUUACAAAAGAAAGACGAGAAAAAAACCAAAGGAAUCACAGUUGGAUCUGAGCAGCAGGCAACUCCAAUGUAUGGCUGCUGCUAAUGAAGUGGAGGAGACUGUGUCUGAGCACCGAGCUCACAACACGCCUGGGCCCCACAACAAGUCUGAGACAAAGAUCUAAGAAGUCUGAGACCCAACAAGUCUGAAACAAGAGACGCAACAAGUCUGAGACCCCAAAAAGUCUGAGACACAACAACUGUGAGAACCAAAUAUCAGGCAGUCACAUAGUAUUUAACAUGUGACCCUCGUUUAUAAAGACAGAGAAAAGAAGUACGUAAGAAAACAGUCCAUCUGCCCAGAGUCCUCGAUUUGAUUCUCUUCUUCGUGGACUCUGUAAGAGCAAAUCCUCCACACUCAUAAGUCAGGCACCAGGGAGGUGAGAUUUCUUUCACUGCUGUGGUGGAGGAUUUAGGAAGACAACAUA